GACCCAGGAAGGGCUGGCUAAAGCUGACCUGGGGAAGGCCUCCCAGAUGGGGCGAAUCUCCCCGGCAUGGUGAAAUAGGUUGCAGCACCCCUGGUGGACAGAAAGGAGAAAGACAGUCUAUCCCUGGCGAGCAGAAAUUCAGCUGGGAAUUGUCAGUGAAAUGAAACUAACAUUGAGUAUGGACCGUGUACCAAGCCCUUUCUAAGUGCUUUACCUUCAUCACCUCGUUUAAUCCUCCCAACAACUCUACAAGGAAGUCUGGGUCAACUUUGAGGCAUCCUUCCGAGCACAUCUUAAAAGUCACCUCUCCUGGGGAGCCCUCCUGGAUUGCUAAAAUGGGGUCGAAUUCCCAUGUUACACGCUUGCAAUGCUUCUCCUGCCAAGGACCCAUCAUAAGUCUGCAACAUUCUGAACAGCAGUCCAGCUGUGAGGGGAGGUGCCCAUGGCAGGCCUCAGCUGACCCCGGAGAGGCCGUUAAGACCUGGCUAUCGCCUCCACAGUUGCUCAGAGGCAGAGAAGGGUGGCUUUGUAAGAAGAAGAGAACAGAUCACUCUCUUUCCACCAUGUGAGGACCCAGCAAGAAGGUGGCUGUCUGCAAGCCCAGGGAGAGAGCCCUCACCAGGAAUCUGC